rnacentral:ncRNA from 2 species
AAGGGAAGAUGGUGCGAGUCCAUCGCUGCCCCGCAACUGUAACCGGUGACGAAAUCCGCAACGGAGCCACUGCACGGGUGACGAGAACCCGGGCGGGAAGGCGCGGAGAGUAGGAGGGCGGCCCUCGAUGGGCCGCCGGGGAACCGGAAGCCAGGAGACCU